rnacentral:rRNA from 1 species
UACGAAGGGGGCUAGCGUUGCUCGGAAUUACUGGGCGUAAAGCGCACGUAGGCGGCUUUCUAAGUCGGGGGUGAAAUCCUGGAGCUCAACUCCAGAACUGCCUUCGAUACUGGAAAGCUCGAGUCCGGGAGAGGUGAGUGGAACUGCGAGUGUAGAGGUGAAAUUCGUAGAUAUUCGGAAGAACACCAGUGGCGAAGGCGGCUCACUGGCUCGAUGACUGACGCUGAGGUGCGAAAGCGUGGGGAGCAAACAGG